UACGUAGGGGGCUAGCGUUGUCCGGAUUUACUGGGCGUAAAGAGCGCGCAGGCGGUCAAGUCAGUCGAAUGUGAAAGCCCCCGGCUCAACUGGGGAGGGUCAUUCGAUACUGCUCGACUUGAAGGCAGGAGAGGGAAGUGGAAUUCCCGGUGUAGUGGUGAAAUGCGUAGAUAUCGGGAGGAACACCAGUGGCGAAGGCGACUUUCUGGCCUGUUCUUGACGCUGAGGCGCGAAAGCUAGGGGAGCAAACGGG
rnacentral:rRNA from 1 species